GUCUUCAAAUUGUUGUUCUCAUUGCUUGGUCCCUGAUACCUACAUUAAGAAUAAAGGGUAUGGAAGAAGACCUUCACUACCUAAGUACAGCAAUAAUGUGAGAAAGAGCUCCUGAUUAAGAACUGUGGCUGCUGUUCAUCUUUAAUUCCUUGCUGACUCCCCAAGUGCUGUCUAGGAUGCCUCAGAUUCUUUUCAUAAAACCAUUAGGCACCAUCAGUCCUAAAUGAUUCCCAGUUGACCCUGGUGAAACUUCUCAGUAGACCCAGUUCCAUUACUUGAGUGACAGUUAAGUAGAAAGAAGGCACUCAACUUGCAAAGCAAAUCCAUGGUUCUAUCAACUCAAACUAUGAAGAUGAGGUCUUGCAGACUUGUCAAGGGUUCUAUGAUUUCUGCAGGUGAGUGUAUGUUCCGUCUACCUAUGUACUUGGCUUCCACCUUAAAGUAGAGGAGAGAACUACUUGAUUGAUUCAAAUAGAAGGUUCUGGUUAUAACUCACAGAGCUACAAAAAAUGAUGUGACUUCCUAGGCUCAUGAGCCUGGCUGACCUUAAGAAGUCAGCACAGAUUCUCCCUGUGAGAAGAGAUGACAAUGUCUCCACCAGGCAAUGCUGGGUGCGUUCCUUCAUGCUCUUUUUGAAAAUGUGUGUUGUGAUUGUGUGUGACACAAUUUACUUAUUAUUAUGGCAGUAGGAGUUGCGUGUGAUUGAAAGCCAUCAAAAGGCACAGCGUUUGAAUGUCAAACAUGGCUUGUCUUUAAUUCCAGACAAUCUGGCUGUCUGUUCUUCCCCAUCCACACUGGUUCCCUGCUUUCCACAGAGUGGCACGGGUUUUUCCUUUUCCUUUGCAUUUUUCUGUUCAGGUCAACAUAUCUGAACAUUUGGAGAGCCGGAAUGGAAGCCAGUUUAAAGCUGUGUUGUGAAUUUCUGCUUAAAUAGGUUGGGUAGGAGAGCAGCAAUUAAAUUUUAUAAGAAAAAAAUCUUUCAUGAAGCUUACUCUUUUCUGUAUUUAACUCUUUCCCACUUUUUCUUUCCAACUUCAUUAGCCUCCAAAUAAGCACAGCAUAUUAUGGAUGUCGAAGGAAGUUUUAUUUAGACUUAUAAGGGCUGAUCUAUUCCCAUACUGUUUAAAUUAAUGUUCAAAAAAGAAUUCAAACCACAUUCUAACAUUUGGACUAUGUAAGAAGGAAACAGAUUUUUUGGGGAAAAAAAAGAUGUUGCUUUAGCUAAGCAGAAUGAGCUGCUGGAGCACAGACAUGCGCAGUCUGAGUUUCUAAAUGCGUGUAUUAUCUGUUAAGAUCAAUUCACAGAGUAAGUGAGCCCCCAAACACUUCCUUCUUGUCUGUCCCCCUUCCUCCCUCCCCCCUCUUUCAGCCCCUGUCCUUUAUUCUUUAUUUUCUUGCCUGCUCUUCUCCCUUUCUACCUUCUCCCUUUCUACUAGCAUAUGGACUUUUACUUUUAUCUCAGACACCUGCAGCCUGAGGCUUGGAAACAUUUGGGGUUUUCACCUAACCAGUUUCUUUUCCGACCAAAUUAGCUCCAGAAAUGCAGGGUGACUUUGAAAGCAAGAAUCUCUUGAAAUAGAAUGGCCUCAAUUUCCAUCAGUUACGUUCGGAGAAUUAAGUUCCAAUACCUUCCUCAAACCCUGCACUCUGUCCACACAUGGGACGCUUUGUUAGGUAAGCAUCCACACAUGCAACAUAUUCCCUGUCAGAAAACAGGUAGGGAAGAGAAACAAACUUACUGAUUUUGUGUUUUCAAUGCAACUGAUUCUCCCCUCCCCCCAGUUUCGCAAGUGCAAACACUGAAGAGUUAAAGAAGCAUAGGUGUGACUUCAGAAAGGGCUGAAAGGCCAAAAUUCUGUGUGUGUGUGUGUGUGUGUGUGUGUGUGCGCGCGCGCGCGCGUGCUCACACGUGCUGCAAGAGUGAAUUACAUUCAAUUACUCAGCCUUUAGCAGCAGUUACUUACUUUGGUGUGUUGGCUUCUAUUUGUGGCACGUAUGGUAAUGUAUUUUUCUCAUAAAUGAAGUGUAGUUUUAAUGAGAAAAAGAAAAGAUAUUAGUGAGCCAGAAAAAUGUCAAAGUCCACCUUCUAGAAAAUAUACCACCUUCGAGACAGAAGCUGCAACCUGUCUUCCUUGUUCUAAAUAUUGUAUUGCUUGCCUUUGAAAAUAGCUAACGUCAUUGAGGAGGACGCUUUUAGACUUCUUCAAACUGAUGGACUACAGAGAGUCAGGAGCAGCGAGCCAGCCUAUUCCCAUGUCCUGGCCUUACAAGGGGGCGGGGUUG